GGGGGCUGGUGGUCCGAGUCCAAGCUGCCGUCACCGACCCGGCCAGUGUGUGGUCAGUCCCUUGGAGGGGCUGGGAGGGGACUCCCCCGUGCCGGCGAGGAUGAUGUUGGCGACGCUGCCGCGUGUGUGGCAGGCUCCGUGGCUGCCUGGGAGGCCACAGCCUGAGUGAUGGGUGACAGCUGGGAGAGGGUGGGUGACACCUGCCGGGCCUGCUGCCUCCUCGCCUCGUGCUCGGGGACAACGGGCUGACACCAGCGGGCGGUGCUGCGGCGAGGAGCCUGGUGUGCUCAAGCCCUGGCUGGUGCGCGGAUGCCCAGGUCAUUGAAGAUUGACAUCACCUGAAUUGUGAAGUCAAUCUUUGCGACAGAGGAAGAAAACUUGGCAGCUGCACAGAAGGAAAAGUGGGGCAAAUGGACAGAAGAAUGUGGGGUGGCUGGGUCAUGUCCCUGCCUCCUUCCAAUUUUCAAGUGAAAGCCCCAAGGACAGACAAAAGUGGAGGGAAGACUAUAGAGUGUUGGCGGAAGCCUUUGGUUCUGGCUUGUGAUUCUUGGAAAUGCUCUGACAUCUCCUUGUUCAUCAGUUCCACAAAUUUCUCAUCUUAAAACCUGGAGAGAGAAUUAUACCUGUGAGAUGUAAAAUAUAGUGGACAAUUUCUAUACACUAACAAUGAAACUGAAGAAAGAGAAAUUAAGGAGUCAGUCCCAAUUACAACUGCACCCAAAAGCAUAAGAUACCUAGGAAUAAACUUAACCAAAAAGGUAAAGGAUCUAUACCC
rnacentral:lncRNA from 1 species